UACAGAGGUGGCAAGCGUUGUUCGGAAUUACUGGGCGUAAAGGGCGCGUAGGCGGCCCACUAAGUCAGACGUGAAAUCCCCCGGCUUAACCUGGGAACUGCGUCUGAUACUGGAGGGCUUGAGUAUGGGAGAGGGAUGUAGAAUUCCAGGUGUAGCGGUGAAAUGCGUAGAUAUCUGGAGGAACACCCAUUGCGAAGGCAGCUCGCUGGGACGUUACUGACGCUGAGACGCGAAAGCGUGGGGAGCAAACGGG
rnacentral:rRNA from 1 species